GAUGAACGCUGGCGGCGUGCCUAAUACAUGCAAGUCGAGCGAACAGACGAGGAGCUUGCUCCUCUGACGUUAGCGGCGGACGGGUGAGUAACACGUGGAUAACCUACCUAUAAGACUGGGAUAACUUCGGGAAACCGGAGCUAAUACCGGAUAAUAUAUUGAACCGCAUGGUUCAAUAGUGAAAGACGGUUUUGCUGUCACUUAUAGAUGGAUCCGCGCCGCAUUAGCUAGUUGGUAAGGUAACGGCUUACCAAGGCAACGAUGCGUAGCCGACCUGAGAGGGUGAUAGGCCACACUGGAACUGAGACACGGUCCAGACUACUACGGGAGGCAGCAGUAGGGAAUCUUCCGCAAUGGGCGAAAGCCUGACGGAGCAACGCCGCGUGAGUGAUGAAGGUCUUCGGAUCGUAAAACUCUGUUAUUAGGGAAGAACAAAUGUGUAAGUAACUAUGCACGUCUUGACGGUACCUAAUCAGAAAGCCACGGCUAACUACGUG
rnacentral:rRNA from 1 species